UACGGGGGGAGCAAGCGUUGUUCGGAUUUACUGGGCGUAAAGGGCGCGUAGGCGGUCAGCACAAGUCAGUUGUGAAAUCUCCGGGCUUAACUCGGAAAGGUCAACUGAUACUGUGCGACUAGAGUGCGGAAGGGGCAACUGGAAUUCUCGGUGUAGCGGUGAAAUGCGUAGAUAUCUGGAGGAACACCGGUGGCGAAGGCGGCAUUCUGGACUGCAACUGACACUGAAAGACGAAAGCCAGGGGAGCAAACGGG
rnacentral:rRNA from 1 species